AAAAAAUGAUGGUGGAAAGAUCUUUUCCAAGUUACAGAUGAUUAAAACUAUGUUCUGUUUGAGAAUUUGAACGCGACUUGUCUGUAAAGUUCUCGAACAUAGAUCUCGGAAAAAUGCUCCAAUUCCUAAAAUACAUGUGCAAGUUAAAUGAUUAGAUUAAAAAAAUGUUGGAACAAAAUAUAGUUAGUAUAUAUUGUACCUGAUAGUGCAAGGUGGACAUUCCGGUCAAGCAGUUCAGCAAAGAUAAAUGGAAGUAGUCGCUCCAUAAAUACAUGACAAUCAUGACUUUUCAUGCCUGAAUACUUUCCAUUAUCCAGAUCUACACAACUAGCCAAAUCUGAAAAAUAACCAUCUGGAAAUCUAAUAUCAUAUUUU
rnacentral:sRNA from 1 species